GUCACUUUUUGCAAAGCUUUGUUCUGCAUCAAUGGACCCCAAAGGGGUUAAAAUAAUAACCAACAUGUUUAGAAAAGCAUGGGUUUUUCCAAACCAGUCAAUUAUAUAAUGGUGGAUCAUUAUUUACUUGACUGGUUUGAAAAAACCCAUGCUUUUCUAAACAUGUUGGUUAUUAAUUUAACCUCUUUGGGGUCCAUUGAUACAGAAAAAACCUUUGCAAAAAGUGAC
rnacentral:miRNA from 1 species